AUGCAAGUCGAGCGGUAGCACAGAGAGCUUGCUCUCGGGUGACGAGCGGCGGACGGGUGAGUAAUGUCUGGGAAACUGCCUGAUGGAGGGGGAUAACUACUGGAAACGGUAGCUAAUACCGCAUAACGUCGCAAGACCAAAGUGGGGGACCUUCGGGCCUCAUGCCAUCAGAUGUGCCCAGAUGGGAUUAGCUAGUAGGUGGGGUAACGGCUCACCUAGGCGACGAUCCCUAGCUGGUCUGAGAGGAUGACCAGCCACACUGGAACUGAGACACGGUCCAGACUCCUACGGGAGGCAGCAGUGGGGAAUAUUGCACAAUGGGCGCAAGCCUGAUGCAGCCAUGCCGCGUGUGUGAAGAAGGCCUUCGGGUUGUAAAGCACUUUCAGCGGGGAGGAAGGCGAUAAGGUUAAUAACCUUGUCGAUUGACGUUACCCGCAGAAGAAGCACCGGCUAACUCCGUGCCAGCAGCCGCGGUAAUACGGAGGGUGCAAGCGUUAAUCGGAAUUACUGGGCGUAAAGCGCACGCAGGCGGUCUGUCAAGUCGGAUGUGAAAUCCCCGGGCUCAACCUGGGAACUGCAUUCGAAACUGGCAGGCUAGAGUCUUGUAGAGGGGGGUAGAAUUCCAGGUGUAGCGGUGAAAUGCGUAGAGAUCUGGAGGAAUACCGGUGGCGAAGGCGGCCCCCUGGACAAAGACUGACGCUCAGGUGCGAAAGCGUGGGGAGCAAACAGGAUUAGAUACCCUGGUAGUCCACGCCGUAAACGAUGUCGAUUUGGAGGUUGUGCCCUUGAGGCGUGGCUUCCGGAGCUAACGCGUUAAAUCGACCGCCUGGGGAGUACGGCCGCAAGGUUAAAACUCAAAUGAAUUGACGGGGGCCCGCACAAGCGGUGGAGCAUGUGGUUUAAUUCGAUGCAACGCGAAGAACCUUACCUGGUCUUGACAUCCACAGAACUUUCCAGAGAUGGAUUGGUGCCUUCGGGAACUGUGAGACAGGUGCUGCAUGGCUGUCGUCAGCUCGUGUUGUGAAAUGUUGGGUUAAGUCCCGCAACGAGCGCAACCCUUAUCCUUUGUUGCCAGCGGUUAGGCCGGGAACUCAAAGGAGACUGCCAGUGAUAAACUGGAGGAAGGUGGGGAUGACGUCAAGUCAUCAUGGCCCUUACGACCAGGGCUACACACGUGCUACAAUGGCAUAUACAAAGAGAAGCGACCUCGCGAGAGCAAGCGGACCUCAUAAAGUAUGUCGUAGUCCGGAUUGGAGUCUGCAACUCGACUCCAUGAAGUCGGAAUCGCUAGUAAUCGUAGAUCAGAAUGCUACGGUGAAUACGUUCCCGGGCCUUGUACACACCGCCCGUCACACCAUGGGAGUGGGUUGCAAAAGAAGUAGGUAGCUUAACCUUCGGGAGGGCG
rnacentral:rRNA from 1 species